CCUCAGCCACGUCAACGAUCUCUUUCUGAGAGUGAUGCCAGUUACUUGCAAGAUCAAGAAAAUUAUAUUGAGCCAUAUGCCACAGUCACUGAGCUGCGAAUGCGUCACAACUGGAAGAGCAAUGGUGAUGACAGGAGCAUUGGGCAGUCUUUGGAAGUAUCAGGCAGUUGUUGUGAGGAUGAGGACAUGGAUACAUACCCUUCAGACACAGAAAAGGAACCAGAUCCAAACUAUCAGGUUAUUGAUAAAAAA